AUUGAACGCUGGCGGCAGGCCUAACACAUGCAAGUCGAGCGGAUGAAGGGAGCUUGCUCCUGGAUUCAGCGGCGGACGGGUGAGUAAUGCCUAGGAAUCUGCCUGGUAGUGGGGGAUAACGUCCGGAGACGGGCGCUAAUACCGCAUACGUCCUGAGGGUGCAAGUGGGGGGUCUUCGGACCUCACGCUCUCAGAUGAGCCUAGGUCGGAUUAGCUAGUUGGUGGGGUAAAGGCCUACCAAGCCGACGAUCCGUAACUGGUCUGUGAGGAUGAUCAGUCACACUAGAAGGUGAACACGCUCCAGACGACUACGGGAGGCAGCAGUGUGGUACAUGGGACAGUGGGCGAGAGUAUUAUCCAGUGAGGCGACGUGUGUUAAGAAAGUCUUCGGAGUGUAAAGCACGUUAAGUUGGGGGGAAGCGCAGUAAGUUAAUACCUUGCUGGAUUGACGGUAACAACUGAAGAAGCACCGGCUAACUUCGUG
rnacentral:rRNA from 1 species